GGUAGGACUACCCGCUGAACUUAAGCAUAUCAAUAAGC
rnacentral:rRNA from 2 species